rnacentral:rRNA from 1 species
CCUACGGGUGGCAGCAGUAGGGAAUCUUUCACAAUGGGCGAAAGCCUGAUGGCGCAACGCCGCGUGCAGGAUGAAGGCCUUCGGGUUGUCAAAUGCUUUUAUAAGCGAGGAAUAUGAUGGUAACUUAUGAAUAAGGAUCGGCUAACUACGUGCCAGCAGCCGCGGUCAUACGUAGGAUCCGAGCAUUAUCCGGGGUGACUGGGUGUAAAGAGUUGCGUAGGUGGCAUAAUAAGUAGCUAGUGAAAUCUGGUGGCUUAACCAUUCAGACUAUUAGCUAAACUGUUAAGCUCGAGACCGUUAGGGGUAACGGGAAUAUCUAGUGUAGGAGUGAAAGCCGUAGAUAUUAGAAGGAACACCAAUAGCGUAGGCAGGUUGCUGGGACGGUUCUGACACUAAGGAACGAAAGCGUAGGGAGCAAACGGGAUUAGAUACCCUUGUAGUC